AAUGCCUGCUCGGAGGCAGGGCUGACCGUUGAGUUUUCCCUCACAGCUCUGCAAAUGGAGUUAAGGACAACACUGGAGGCGCCACGGCAGCACAAGUGGUGACCAAAGUCCAGGAGAUGCAGGAAGAGCUAAAGACGCUGCAGGAGCACAGCAGGUGAACAAGGUCCAAGAAAUGCAGGACAGGACCUCAAGUGGAGGAGGAGAUGGUCUGCAAGGAGCAGCCCAGGACACCGGAGGCAGCAGACAUGUUGGGGAAGAGCACGAUUUGGCAUUCAGAGCUCGCCCAGGGCUGACGCAAGGAAAACAGAUGGACUUUGACAAUUCUGCCAGAAGGGAUCAUGGCGGCAAAGUUACAUUCACCAAAUGGAAAAUGUGUAGAUUACACUGUGGACAACCAAGGAGGAGCGCGUUAUGUAAGGCAAGUGAUGAUUGCUGAGGCUUUUGCACACCAGGGCUCUGAGACUAACGUAGCAUUGAGAGCAGAAGAGUUUUAUGAAUGUGAGUGCCCUGCCCUCAUGCCUGAGUGUGGACAAGGGGCUGAAGGUGUGGCAAUCCAAAGUGAGAACACAUGCACCAAGAAAGAGCCUAUAGGGUUGGAUUAAGAGGACAAAUCAGCAGAGAAUCAAGGAGGACAAUGCAGCGGAGAAGUCAGAAGACAUGCUGUACAGUGAGUGAGGAUCCCAGAGCCCGAGGAUCUCAUGCUGGCCUCUGAGCCCGCCAGGCUCCUGGCACCCCUGCCUGCCCUGCAUCUGGUCCCCUCACUACAAAUGCUAUAGAAAAGCCACUGAGGGCUCCAGGACUCUCUUUAACCCAGAGAAACUGCUGUGUGCCUUGCUGGCAUAACAAGUGGCAUAGGUCAGCAGGAUGAUUUGACGCAGACAGGUAUGGAGCCGUCCAAAGACCCCGGGAGGGACUGAGUGGUGGUGGGCCAUGAGCAUGCAGUGCUUGGUGGCCACCCUCUGUGUCAGCACCUUCCCACCCUCUCUAUGUCAGGCCCAAGGAGAAUGAUCCUCCAGUGCAGGUGAGGAGGACUUGACACAUGGUGGGAGAGUCGUUGGAUGGACAUGAUGCCUGAUUGGAGGCAGGACUAGCUGUUGAAUUUUCCCUCACAACUCUGCAAAUGGGGUUAAGGACAACACUGGAGGCGCCACCGCAGCACAGGCAGCGACCAAAGUCUCGGAGCUGUGUGAAGAGCUAAAGACGCUGCAGGAGCACAGGAGGUGGAACAAGGUCUGGGAGAUGCAGGACAAGACCUCAAGUGGAGGAGGAGAUGGUCUGCAAGGACCAGCCCAGGACACUGGAGGCAGCAGACACGUUGGGGAAGAGCACAAUUUGGCAUUCAGAGCUCGCCCAGGGCUGACGCAAGGAAAACAGAUGGACUUUGACAAUUCUGCCAGAAGGGAUCAUGGCGGCAAAGUUACAUUCACCAAAUGGAAAAUGUGUAGAUUACACUGUGGACAACCAAGGAGGAGCGCGUUAUGUAAGGCAAGUGAUGAUUGCUGAGGCUUUUGCACACCAGGGCUCUGAGACUAACGUAGCAUUGAGAGCAGAAGAGUUUUAUGAAUGUGAGUGCCCUGCCCUCAUGCCUGAGUGUGGACAAGGGGCUGAAGGUGUGGCAAUCCAAAGUGAGAACACAUGCACCAAGAAAGAGCCUAUAGGGUUGGAUUAAGAGGACAAAUCAGCAGAGAAUCAAGGAGGACAAUGCAGCGGAGAAGUCAGAAGACAUGCUGUACAGUGAGUGAGGAUCCCAGAGCCCGAGGAUCUCAUGCUGGCCUCUGAGCCCGCCAGGCUCCUGGCACCCCUGCCUGCCCUGCAUCUGGUCCCCUCACUACAAAUGCUAUAGAAAAGCCACUGAGGGCUCCAGGACUCUCUUUAACCCAGAGAAACUGCUGUGUGCCUUGCUGGCAUAACAAGUGGCAUAGGUCAGCAGGAUGAUUUGACGCAGACAGGUAUGGAGCCGUCCAAAGACCCCGGGAGGGACUGAGUGGUGGUGGGCCAUGAGCAUGCAGUGCUUGGUGGCCACCCUCUGUGUCAGCACCUUCCCACCCUCUCUAUGUCAGGCCCAAGGAGAAUGAUCCUCCAGUGCAGGUGAGGAGGACUUGACACAUGGUGGGAGAGUCGUUGGAUGGACAUGAUGCCUGAUUGGAGGCAGGACUAGCUGUUGAAUUUUCCCUCACAACUCUGCAAAUGGGGUUAAGGACAACACUGGAGGCGCCACCGCAGCACAGGCAGCGACCAAAGUCUCGGAGCUGCGUGAAGGGUUAAAGAUGUUGCAGGAGCACAGGAGGUGAACAAGGUCUGGGAGAUGCAGGACAAGACCUCAAGUGGAGGAGGAGAUGGUCUGCAAGGACCAGCCCAGGACAUGGGAGGCAGCAGAUGAGUUGGGGAGAGGAGCACAAUUUGGCAUUCAGAGCUCGCCCAGGGCUGACGCAAGGAAAACAGGUGGACUUUGACAAUUCUGCCAGAAGGUGGUGCCCGAAAACCUAAUGCCUGAGAUUCCUCCUCUGCUGUUGUAUAUUAUUCUACUGUUGUGUUGGUUGUACUGUGUUUAUUUCGGGAUCGUGGCGCCAAAGAUACAUUCACAAAAAGGAAAAUAUGUGUAGAUUACAGUGUGGAAAACCAAGGAGGAGAGCGUUAUAUAAGGUGACGAGGAUUGCUGAGGCUCUUCCACAUGUGGGCUCUGACACUACCCCUUACAGCAUUGAAUGCAGAACAGUUUUAGGAGUGUGGGCGCCGCAAACGAUGCCAGAGUGUGGACUAGGGGCCGAAGGUGUGGCGAUGGAGAGUGAGAACACCUGAGCCCAGAAGGAGGAUCUAGGGUUGGAUUGACAGGACAAAUCAGCAGAGAAUCAAGGAGCAGA